GUUCCGCACCGGAAGCGCCUGCCGAGGCCGGAGGCUGGGUGCAGGGGCGGAGACGCGGAGAACUUGGGAUCCUGGUUUAAGGGAGCUGGGAAGCUGCCGCAGGGGGACCAGCGCUCCCUGGGUGGACCGACCCCACCGCUUACCCAUUGCUGGACGCCUGCGUGCACCGACCCCACCGCUUACCCAUUGCUGGACGCUUGCCCUGUUGCCAUCUCCUCGCUAGCGUGAACAGUGCUGCGUGCAGAUCUCUCUUUCAUUGAUUGUUUUGCGUCUGUACCCAGAAGUGGGAUUGCUGGACCAUCUCUGCCCAUUUUAAAAUUGGGAAAUGACAUGAUCUGAUUUAAGCUAUUUAAAAAUCACUUGGGCCUGGGCUCGGUGGCUCACGCGUGUAAUCACAACACUUUGGGAAGCCGAGACAGGCGGAUCACCUGAGGUCAGAAGUUUGAGACCAGCCUGGCCAACAUGGUGAAACCCGGUCUCUACUAAAAAUACAAAAAUUAGCCGGGCACGGUGGCUCCAGCCUGUAAUACCAGCUACUCAGGAGGCUGAGGCAGGAGAGUUGCUUGAACCCAGGAAGCGGAGGUUGCAGUGAGCUGAGAUUGCCUCACUGCACUCCAGCCUGGGCAACAGAGUGAAACAAUGUCUCAAAAAAAUAAAAAUAAAAAAACUGAAUGGUUCCACAGAAA